UACGGAGGGGACUAGCGUUGUUCGGAAUUACUGGGCGUAAAGCGCACGUAGGCGGACAUUUAAGUCAGGGGGUGAAAUCCCAGAGCUCAACUCUGGAACUGCCUUUGAUACUGGGUGUCUUGAGUAUGGAAGAGGUGAGUGGAAUUCCGAGUGUAGAGGUGAAAUUCGUAGAUAUUCGGAGGAACACCAGUGGCGAAGGCGGCUCACUGGUCCAUUACUGACGCUGAGGUGCGAAAGCGUGGGGAGCAAACAGG
rnacentral:rRNA from 1 species